rnacentral:rRNA from 1 species
AAAGGAAUAGACGGGAGCCCGCACAAGCAGUGGAGUAUGUGGUUUAAUUCGACGCAACGCGAAGAACCUUACCAGAGCUUGACAUCCUACUGAAAACCUGGGUAAUGCCGGGUCCUCCUUCGGGACAGUAGAGACAGGUGGUGCAUGGUUGUCGUCAGCUCGUGUCGUGAGAUGUUGGGUUAAGUCCCGCAACGAGCGCAACCCUUACGGUCAGUUGCUACGCAAGAGCACUCUGGCCGGACUGCCGUUGACAAAACGGAGGAAGGUGGGGACGACGUCAAAUCAUCAUGCCCCUUACGCCCUGGGCUACACACGUACUACAAUGGCGCAAACAAAGGGAAGCGAAGCCGCGAGGCGGAGCAAAUCCCAAAAAAGGCGUCCCAGUUCGGAUUGUAGGCUGCAACCCGCCUAUAUGAAGUCGGAAUUGCUAGUAAUCGCGGAUCAGCAUGCCGCGGUGAAUACGUUCCCGGGCUUUGUACACACCGCCCGU